AACGCUGGCGGCGUGCCUAAUACAUGCAAGUUGAGCGCUGAAGGUUGGUACUUGUACCAACUGGAUGAGCAGCGAACGGGUGAGUAACGCGUGGGGAAUCUGCCUUUGAGCGGGGGACAACAUUUGGAAACGAAUGCUAAUACCGCAUAAAAACUUUAAACACAAGUUUUAAGUUUGAAAGAUGCAAUUGCAUCACUCAAAGAUGAUCCCGCGUUGUAUUAGCUAGUUGGUGAGGUAAAGGCUCACCAAGGCGAUGAUACAUAGCCGACCUGAGAGGGUGAUCGGCCACAUUGGGACUGAGACACGGCCCAAACUCCUACGGGAGGCAGCAGUAGGGAAUCUUCGGCAAUGGACGAAAGUCUGACCGAGCAACGCCGCGUGAGUGAAGAAGGUUUUCGGAUCGUAAAACUCUGUUGGUAGAGAAGAACGUUGGUGAGAGUGGAAAGCUCAUCAAGUGACGGUAACUACCCAGAAAGGGACGGCUAACUACGUG
rnacentral:rRNA from 1 species